GUCGGGACCUAAGGCGAGGCCGAAAGGCGUAGUCGAUGGACAACAGGUUGAUAUUCCUGUACCACGUGGCUUCAUUUGACCGAUGGGGGGACGGGGAAGGCUAUGGGAACCCAGGCGACGGUAGUCCUGGGUCAAGCGUGUAGGGGGAGCCCAUGAAAAAUGCGGGGCUCCAUAACCUGAGGCGCGAUGACAGCUGGCUGUAAGCCGGCGAGUCCCGGACGCCAUGCCUCCAAGAAAAGCCUCUAGGGAGAAGUUCAUGUGCCCGUACCAAAACCGACACAGGUGGGAAAGUAGAGAAUACUAAGGUGAUCGAGAUAACCAUCGUUAAGGAACUCGGCAAAAUCGCUCCGUAACUUCGGGAUAAGGAGCGCCCUAGUAGGGUGAAGCGCCUUGCGCGCUCAGCCCGAGAGGGCCGCAGUGAAUAGGUUCAACCGACUGUUUACCAAAAACACAGGGCUCUGCUAAGU
rnacentral:rRNA from 14 species